rnacentral:rRNA from 1 species
AACGAACGCUGGCGGCGUGCCUAACACAUGCAAGUCGAGGGAGAAAGCCGCAAGGCGAGUAAACCGGCGAACGGGUGCGUAACACGUGGAUAAUCUACCUUCCUGACUGGGACAACUGGCCGAAAGGCUUGCUAAUACCAGAUAAGCCCACGGCGUCUUUGGACGCAGAGGGAAAAGGUGGCCUCUGUAAACAAGCUAUCACAGGGAGAUGAGUCCGCGGCCCAUCAGCAGUUGGCGGGGUAAAGCCCACCAAGGCAACGACGGGUAGCUGGUCUGAGAGGAUGAUCAGCCACACUGGAACUGAGACACGGUCCAGACUCCUACGGGAGGCAGCAGUGGGGAAUCUUGCGCAAUGGGCGAAAGCCUGACGCAGCAACGCCGCGUGUGUGAUGAAGGUCUUCGGAUCGUAAAGCACUGUCGCGAGGGAAGAUACGCCACGCGCUAACAUCGCGGGGCUAAGACGGUACCUCGAGAGGAAGCACCGGCUAACU